rnacentral:rRNA from 1 species
UGGGGAAUAUUGCACAAUGGGCGCAAGCCUGAUGCAGCAACGCCGCGUGAACGAUGAAGGUCUUCGGAUCGUAAAGUUCUGUUGCAGGGGAAGAUAAUGACGGUACCCUGUGAGGAAGCCCCGGCUAACUACGUGCCAGCGGCCGCGGUAAUACGUAGGGGGCUAGCGUUAUCCGGAUUUACUGGGCGUAAAGGGUGCGUAGGUGGUCUUUCAAGUCGGUGGUUAAAGGCUACGGCUCAACCGUAGUUAGCCUCCGAAACUGGAAGACUUGAGUGCAGGAGAGGAAAGUGGAAUUCCCAGUGUAGCGGUGAAAUGCGUAGAUAUUGGGAGGAACACCGGUGGCGAAAGCGGCUCUCUGGUCUGUAACUGACGCUGAGGCUCGAAAGCGUGGGGAGCGAACAGG